rnacentral:rRNA from 1 species
GACGUAGGGCGCGAGCGUUGUCCGGAUUUAUUGGGCGUAAAGAGCUCGUAGGCGGCUUGUCGCGUCGACUGUGAAAACCCGCGGCUCAACCGCGGGCUUGCAGUCGAUACGGGCAGGCUAGAGUUUGGUAGGGGAGACUGGAAUUCCUGGUGUAGCGGUGAAAUGCGCAGAUAUCAGGUGGAACACCAGUGGCGAAGGCGGCCUUCUGGGCCGAUACUGACGCUGAUGCGCGAAAGCGUGGGGAGCGAACAGG